rnacentral:misc_RNA from 1 species
UUUUAAGUAAUGACCAAAAGGCCUGCUCUGUGAUGUCGCUAAUAUUGUUGGACAUUGCAAGGGUGAAAUGAAAGCCGCUGGGAUCCCAUUCUUAUUGUGUUAGCACAUAAGUGUAUCUAUUUUGAAUAGGCCUAAUGCAAGUCUUGUUAUUGAGGGUUAUGUUUCAUGAAGCUACAUACCACUUUUCCAAGUCUUGGACUCAUUAUUCAUGGUUCCCUCCCUAUAUGUCUUAUGUGUAUAAGUCUCCUGCAAAGGUAUUUCAAAGUGAAGGUUCCAUUACACACAAAUAAAGGGCUGCAUCCUAAUUUUGUUUUUCUGCAACUGAUGUGAUUUCUUGAUCCCUGUUUGGAGACUGUCCUUGCAUUGAAUACCAUUAUUUUGACCUUAAGUUUAAUUUCAUUCUAAAGCAUAUAGGCAUUUAAUUAAAGUAAUCUUAAACAAAGGAUCUCACUUCAACUGUGUAAAUUCCAUUCUUCUACUUUCUUUUUUGAGACUUAUGAGUUUUUGACUUGUAGGCAAUAUAUAUUAGAUAAAUCAUUAAUUUUUGUUGGAAAUGAUGUCAGUCUAAGCUAUUGCAUCAUUGUUGCUGGACGUACUUAACCAGACCAUUUGAAAUGGAAAAGGAUGGAAAUUUUGUGUAGCCUUCUACCUCUAAUUUUUUCCAACUGGUGUUUGGUUUGACAUUGAACAUCUUAGCUUGUAAGAUUUAGAGGGACAAUAUUAAUGCUAAAAUUUGUUGAGGCCUAUUUGGUUAUAUAAGCAUUUAUUUUGAUAAUGAUAAGCUGUACACAUUCUUUUACUGAAUUAUCUAUUUAUUUUUGCAGAAAGCAAUCCGGGAGCCUCAAG